rnacentral:rRNA from 1 species
UUAAGUGACUAAGCGUACACGGUGGAUGCCUGGGCAGUCAGAGGCGAUGAAGGACGUACUAACUUGCGAUAAGCGCAGAUAAGGCAGUAAGAGCCGUUUGAGUCUGCGAUUUCCGAAUGGGGAAACCCAACUGCAUAAGCAGUUACUGUUAACUGAAUACAUAGGUUAACAGAGCAAACCGGGGGAACUGAAACAUCUAAGUACCCCGAGGAGAAGAAAUCAACCGAGAUUCCGGUAGUAGCGGCGAGCGAACCUGGAUUAGCCCUUAAGCACUCGGUGAAGUAGGUGAACAAGCUGGAAAGCUUGGCGAUACAGGGUGAUAGCCCCGUAACCGACGCUUCAUCGAGCGUGAAAUCGAGUAGGGCGGGACACGUGAUAUCCUGUCUGAAUAUGGGGGGACCAUCCUCCAAGGCUAAAUACUCCUGACUGACCGAUAGUGAACCAGUACCGUGAGGGAAAGGCGAAAAGAACCCCUGUGAGGGGAGUGAAAUAGAACCUGAAACCGUGUACGUACAAGCAGUAGGAGCACCUUCGUGGUGUGACUGCGUACCUUUUGUAUAAUGGGUCAGCGACUUAUAUUCAGUGGCAAGGUUAACCGUAUAGGGGAGCCGUAGCGAAAGCGAGUCUUAACUGGGCGCUCAGUCUCUGGAUAUAGACCCGAAACCGGGUGAUCUAGCCAUGGGCAGGUUGAAGGUUGAGUAACAUCAACUGGAGGACCGAACCGACUAAUGUUGAAAAAUUAGCGGAUGACUUGUGGCUAGGGGUGAAAGGCCAAUCAAACUCGGAGAUAGCUGGUUCUCCCCGAAAGCUAUUUAGGUAGCGCCUCGGACGAAUACUACUGGGGGUAGAGCACUGUUAAGGCUAGGGGGUCAUCCCGACUUACCAACCCUUUGCAAACUCCGAAUACCAGUAAGUACUAUCCGGGAGACACACGGCGGGUGCUAACGUCCGUCGUGGAGAGGGAAACAACCCAGACCGCCAGCUAAGGUCCCAAAGUAUUGCUAAGUGGGAAACGAUGUGGGAAGGCUCAGACAGCUAGGAUGUUGGCUUAGAAGCAGCCAUCAUUUAAAGAAAGCGUAAUAGCUCACUAGUCGAGUCGGCCUGCGCGGAAGAUGUAACGGGGCUAAGCAAUACACCGAAGCUGCGGCAAUAUCUUUUAGAUAUUGGGUAGGGGAGCGUUCUGUAAGCCGUUGAAGGUGAAUCGUAAGGUUUGCUGGAGGUAUCAGAAGUGCGAAUGCUGACAUGAGUAACGACAAAGGGGGUGAAAAACCUCCUCGCCGGAAGACCAAGGGUUCCUGUCCAACGUUAAUCGGGGCAGGGUGAGUCGACCCCUAAGGUGAGGCCGAAAGGCGUAAUCGAUGGGAAACGGGUUAAUAUUCCCGUACUUCUGACUAUUGCGAUGGGGGGACGGAGAAGGCUAGGUGGGCCAGGCGACGGUUGUCCUGGUUCAAGUGCGUAGGCUUGAGAGUUAGGUAAAUCCGGCUCUCUCUAAGGCUGAGACACGACGUCGAGCUGCUACGGCAGUGAAGUCAUUGAUGCCAUGCUUCCAGGAAAAGCCUCUAAGCUUCAGAUAGUCAGGAAUCGUACCCCAAACCGACACAGGUGGUCGGGUAGAGAAUACCAAGGCGCUUGAGAGAACUCGGGUGAAGGAACUAGGCAAAAUGGUACCGUAACUUCGGGAGAAGGUACGCUCUUGAUGGUGAAGUCCCUCGCGGAUGGAGCUGACGAGAGUCGCAGAUACCAGGUGGCUGCAACUGUUUAUUAAAAACACAGCACUGUGCAAAAUCGCAAGAUGACGUAUACGGUGUGACGCCUGCCCGGUGCCGGAAGGUUAAUUGAUGGGGUUAGCGCAAGCGAAGCUCUUGAUCGAAGCCCCGGUAAACGGCGGCCGUAACUAUAACGGUCCUAAGGUAGCGAAAUUCCUUGUCGGGUAAGUUCCGACCUGCACGAAUGGCGUAAUGAUGGCCACGCUGUCUCCACCCGAGACUCAGUGAAAUUGAAAUCGCUGUGAAGAUGCAGUGUACCCGCGGCUAGACGGAAAGACCCCGUGAACCUUUACUACAGCUUGGCACUGAACAUUGAACCUACAUGUGUAGGAUAGGUGGGAGGCUAUGAAGACGUGACGCCAGUUGCGUUGGAGCCGUCCUUGAAAUACCACCCUUGUAUGUUUGAUGUUCUAACUUAGACCCAUUAUCUGGGUUGAGGACAGUGCCUGGUGGGUAGUUUGACUGGGGCGGUCUCCUCCCAAAGAGUAACGGAGGAGCACGAAGGUGGGCUAAUCACGGUUGGACAUCGUGAGGUUAGUGCAAUGGCAUAAGCCCGCUUAACUGCGAGAAUGACGGUUCGAGCAGGUGCGAAAGCAGGUCAUAGUGAUCCGGUGGUUCUGUAUGGAAGGGCCAUCGCUCAACGGAUAAAAGGUACUCCGGGGAUAACAGGCUGAUACCGCCCAAGAGUUCAUAUCGACGGCGGUGUUUGGCACCUCGAUGUCGGCUCAUCACAUCCUGGGGCUGAAGUCGGUCCCAAGGGUAUGGCUGUUCGCCAUUUAAAGUGGUACGCGAGCUGGGUUUAGAACGUCGUGAGACAGUUCGGUCCCUAUCUGCCGUGGGGGUU